rnacentral:rRNA from 1 species
GAUGAACGCUGGCGGCGUGCCUAAUACAUGCAAGUCGAGCGAACGGACGAGAAGCUUGCUUUUCUGAUGUUAGCGGCGGACGGGUGAGUAACACGUGGAUAACCUACCUAUAAUACUGGGAUAACUUCGGGAAACCGGAGCUAAUACCGGAUAAUAUUUUGAACCGCAUGGUUCAAAAGUGAAAGACGGUCUUGCUGUCACUUAUAGAUGGAUCCGCGCUGGAUUAGCUAGUUGGUAAGGUAACGGCUUACCAAGGCAACGAUGCAUAGCCGACCUGAGAGGGUGAUCAGCCACACUGGAACUGAGACACGGUCCAGACUCCUACGGGAGGCAGCAGUAGGGAAUCUUCCGCAAUGGGCGCAAGCCUGACGGAGCCACGCCGCGUGAGUGAUGAAGGUCUUCGGAUCGUAAAACUCUGUUAUUAGGGAAGAACAUAUGUGUAAGUAACUGUGAACAUCUUGACGGUACCUAAUCAGAAAGCCACGGCUAACUACGUG